GCCUAGUUUUUAUUAAAGCAAACGGUGGAUGCCUUGGUGGCAAGAGCCGAGGAAGGACGCUGCAGGUGGCGAUACUCGUCGGGGAGAAACCUAGCAUUCUUUGAUCCGGCGGUUUCCGAAUGGGGUAACCCCUCCGAUUUAAUCGGAGACUCUCCACCCAAUAUCAUAAGUGGAGUAGAGGGAACCACCCGAACUGAAACAUCUAAGUAGGGUGAGGAAAAGAAAACAAAUUGUGAUGCCGUAAGUAGCGGUGAGCGAAAGCGGUAAAGCCUAAACCCCGCCCUUUCGCAAGAAAGAGCGGGAGGUUGUAGGACUCCGAUUUGGGAGUACCGAGGGUAGCUGAAGGACAUGGAAUUGUCCGCCAGAGAAGGUGAUAGUCCUGUAGGCAAAAUCUGAAGUACCCCUAGGAGAAUCCUAAGUACCAUGGGGCAAAUACCCUGUGAGAAUCUGGGGGAACCAUCCCCCAAGGCUAAAUACUCUUGUCGACCGAUAGUGAACAAGUACCGUGAGGGAAAGGUGAAAAGAAGGGUCAAAAACCUAGUGAAAUAGAACCUGAAACCGUUUGCUAACAAGCAGAGGAAGUUCGGGACUAGAUUGGGCCCUUGAAAGUCUUGGAUUAGCACAGAUAACGCGACACGCAGACUACAUUAAGACCUUGUGAGUCUUCUUGUGUUGCGCGCGGAUAAACACAGAAAGAAUAAUCAGCGUAAAUCCGCGUAAGCGGCUAAAUAGCGUUUCGGAAUUAAAAAUCAAGGAGCGCAGCCGCUUAAAAUCAGCGUCAAUCCAGGCGUUUCGAGAGUCUUACCUAGUUCCGGAUGACCUCGUGCCUAUUGAAGAAUGAACCGGCGAGUUGUCAGUUUUUGCUAGUCUAACCCCGCUGGAGCGGGGGGAGGCGCAGGGAAACCGAGUCUUAAUAGGGCGUUCAAGCAGCAACUGGCAGACCCGAAACCGGGCGAGCUAUCCAUGGGCAGGGUGAAUCUCGGCGAAAGCCGUGAGGAGGCCCGAACCCGUUCCUGUUGCAAUAGGAUGGGAUGACCUGUGGUUAGAGGCAAUAUACCAAACGAGCCCGGAGAUAGCUGGUUCUCCCCGAAAUAUAUAUAGGUAUAGCCCUUGUUCAAAUUUUCUGGGGGUAGAGCACUGAAUGGGUUAGGUAUCGCAAGAUAUCUAAUUCAAUCAAACUCCGAAUACCAGGAAUUUUUUGGCAGGGAGUCAGAACGACCGGGCUAAGCUGGUCGCUCGAGAGGGAAACAACCCAGACUUUCGUCUAAGGUCUCAAAAUUUGGCUUAAGUGGAGAAGGAAGUAUUCACCCUCAGACAGCCAGGAGGUUGGCUUAGAAGCAGCCAUCCUUAAAAGAAAGCGUAACAGCUCACUGGAAGAUGGGUGAAUGCACCGAAAAUUUACCGAGGCUCAAAGCCAAUACCGAAGACAGAGCCCGCCGAUUCGGCGGGAGUAGGGGAGCGUCCCGAUAGCAGUGAAGGUGGACUGUAAAGUCUGCUGGAGUUGUCGGGAGUGAGAAUGCCGGUAUGAGUAGCGAAAGUCCGGUGAGAAUCCGGACCGCCGAAUACCCAAGGUUUCCCCCGCAAUGUUCGUCAACGGGGGGUUAGUCGGUCCUAAGGGAAGUCCCGCCGAUUCGGCGGGGGUACCCAAUGGAGAAGCCGUUUAUAAUCGGCUACAGAAAAGAAGCCGUUUUAAGUUGGGGAUUGACAAGGUUGGAAGAGCUAAGCGAGGAAGUGACACCUCGUUUAAGCUGCAAGGCAGUUCUUGUUGGCAAAUCCGCAAGAGCGUCUUAACCGAGCAGUAAAUAAAAGUCCAAUCCGCAAGGAAAGGGCAAUUUGGUGACUUUCGGCCUUCGAGAAAAGAUUCGCAACAAGGUUUCUUUUUUACCGUACCGCAAACCGACACUGGUGGGUUGGUCGAGAAGACUAAGGCGAGCGGGAGAAGGAAGUUCAAGGAACUCGGCAAAAAAUCUGGGCGUAAGCUAUGCAAGAUGCCCUCCCUGAAAAAUCGCAAGAUUUUUUAGGGCGCAGCGAAAGAUUGUUUGGCGACUGUUUAACUAAAACACAGGUCUCUGCAAAACCGAAAAGGUAAAGUAUAGGGGCUGAAGCCUGCCCAGUGCCGGAAGGUUAUGGGGAUGGAUUUUGUGCUUUGCACAAGGUCUUGAACUUAAGCCCCGGUGAACGGCAGCAGUAACUAUAACUGUUCGAUGGUAGCGAAGUCCCUCGUCAGGUAAGUUCUGACCCGCAUGAAAGGCUUAACGACCAAACAACUGUCUUGAACUUUCACCCGGCGAAAUUGAAAUGGCUGUGAAGAUGCGGCCUAGGUGCUCUAGGACAAAAAGACCCCGUGGAGCUUUACUAUAGCUUGGCAUUGGAAUGAUGUUUGAAAUUGUCGAGUGUAGGAGGGAGUCCCGAUUUUAUCGGGACAACAAUGUAACACCUCUCUUUUCAGGUAUCAAACCUUACCCAUGGGCCUUGCAAACAGGUCUGGGGAAAGUGUCAGGUGGAUAGUUUGACUGGGGAAGUCGCUUGCUAAAAGGUAACGCGAGCGCACAAAGGUCAGCUUAGUCCGGAUGGAAAUCGGACUGGACGUGCAAAGGCAGAAGCUGGCUUGACUGCGAGACUGACAGGUCAAGCAGGUGCGAAAGCAGGUCUUAGUGAUCCUCCGAUUCUUCGUGGGAAGGUCGGGGCUUAACGGAUAAAAGUUACCCCGGGGAUAACAGGCUGAUCGGACCCGAGAGUCCAUAUCUACGGUCCGGUUUGGCACCUCGAUGUCGGCUCACCGCAUCCUCCCGCCGAAGUAGGUGGGAAGGGUUGGACUGUUCGCCCAUUAAAGCGGUACGUGAGCUGGGUUCAGAACGUCGUAAGACAGUUCGGACUCUAUCCAGAGCAUCCGUUGAUUUUUGAGGGGAGCUCUCCCUAGUACGAGAGGACCGGGAGGGGGGAAUCCCUGGUGUGUCGGUUGUCGUGUCAACGGCAUCGCCGAGUAGCCACAUUCCUAAGGGAUAACCACUGAAAGCAUCUCAAGUGGGAAGCCCACCCCAAGAUAAGAAAUCGUUAAAGACCCCUUGUAGAUUACAAGGUUGAUAGGCUGGAGGUAGAAGGGCAGUAAUGUCUUAAGCUAACCAGUACUAAUCGGUCGAAAA
rnacentral:rRNA from 1 species